GACGAACGCUGGCGGCGUGCCUAAUACAUGCAAGUAGAACGCUGAGGAGAGGCGCUUGCUCUUCUUUGAUGAGUUGCGAACGGGUGAGUCACGCGUAGGUAACCUGCCUUGUAGCGGGGUAUAACUAUUGGAAACGAUCGCUAAUACCGCAUAACCUUGGAUGACACAUGUCAUUUAUUUGAAAGUGGCAAUUGCUCCACUACAAGAUGGCCCUGCGUUGUAUUAGCUAGUAGGUGAGGUAAUGGCUCACCUAGGCGACGAUACAGAGCCAACCGGAGAGGGUGGUCGGCCAGACUGGGAGUGAGACACGGCACAGAGUGAUACGGGAAGCGGCAGUAGGGAAUCGUGGGGAAUGGGGGCGGAACUGACCGAGAAAGGCGGAGGGAGGGAAGAAGGUCUUCGGAUCGGAAAGGACUGUUUUAGGUCAAGAACGGGUGUGAGAGUGGAAAGUACACACAGUGACGGUAGCGGACAAGGAAGGAACGGCUAACUACGUG
rnacentral:rRNA from 1 species